CCUACGGGAGGCAGCAGUGGGGGAUAUUGCACAAUGGGGGAAACCCUGAUGCAGCGACGCCGCGUGUGGGAAGACGGUCCUCUGGAUUGUAAACCACUGUCCCCAGGGACGAAGAUGACGGUACCUGGGGAGGAAGCUCCGGCUAACUACGUUCAACCACCCGCGGUAAUACGUUGGGAGCGAGCGUUGUACGGAAUUACUGGGGGUAAAGGGAGGGUAGGCGGGGAUGAAAGUUGGGUGUAAAAACUACCGGCUCAACUGGUAGUCGCACUCAAAACUGCAGGUCUUGAGUGAAGUAGAGGCAGGCGGAAUUCCUAGUGUAGCGGUGAAAUGCGUAGAUAUUAGGAGGAACACCAGUGGCGAAGGCGGCCUGCUGGGCUUUUACUGACGCUGAGGCUCGAAAGUGUGGGGAGCAAACGGGAUUAGAUACCCCUGUAGUC
rnacentral:rRNA from 1 species